rnacentral:misc_RNA from 1 species
GAAAUGCGAUAAGUAAUGUGAAUUGCAGAAUUCAGUGAAUCAUCGAAUCUUUGAACGCACAUUGCGCCCGCCAGCACUCUGGCGGGCAUGCCUGUUCGAGCGUCAUUUCAACCCUCAGAACCCCUUGCGGGAUCUGGCGUUGGGGAUUGGCAUCCAGCCAGCCCCGAAAUCUAGUGGCGGUCCCUCCGCGACCUCCCCUGUGCAGUAGCGAUACCUCGCAGCGGGACAGCGGUCUGACCACGCCGUAAAACCCCCAACUUCUCAAGGUUGACCUCGAAUCAGGUAGGAAUUCCCGCUGAACUUAAGC